rnacentral:rRNA from 1 species
GACGAACGCUGGCGGCGUGCCUAAUACAUGCAAGUAGAACGCACAGUUUAUACCGUAGCUUGCUACACCAUAGACUGUGAGUUGCGAACGGGUGAGUAACGCGUAGGUAACCUGCCUGGUAGCGGGGGAUAACUAUUGGAAACGAUAGCUAAUACCGCAUAAUAUUGAUUAUUGCAUGAUAAUUGAUUGAAAGAUGCUAUUGCAUCACUACCAGAUGGACCUGCGUUGUAUUAGCUAGUAGGUGAGGUAACGGCUCACCUAGGCGACGAUACAUAGCCGACCUAGGAGGAUGAUCGGCCACAGUGGGAAUACACACCGGCGCAGACUCCGACGGGAAGCAGCAGUAGGGAAUCGUCGGCAAUGGACGAAAGGCUGACCGAGCAACGCCGCGGGGGUGAAGAAGGUUGGCGCAUAGUAAAGUUCUGUUGUAAGAGAACGGGUGUGAGAGUGGAAAGUUCACACUGUGACGGUAUCUUACCAGAAAGGGACGGCUAACUACGUG